rnacentral:rRNA from 1 species
CGGGGUGAGUAACGCGUGAGGAACCUGCCUCAAAGAGGGGGACAACAGUUGGAAACGACUGCUAAUACCGCAUAAGCCCACAGCUCGGCAUCGAGCAGAGGGAAAAGGAGUGAUCCGCUUUGAGAUGGCCUCGCGUCCGAUUAGCUAGUUGGUGAGGUAACGGCCCACCAAGGCGACGAUCGGUAGCCGGACUGAGAGGUUGAACGGCCACAUUGGGACUGAGACACGGCCCAG